AAGAUUAUACUUUCAGGGAUCAUUUCUAUAGUGUCUAACUAGGAAAUGUGAUUUGUAAGUGUUGUGUCUCUCUAACCGCAAUGAUGAGUUUUGAUGCACUCUUCUGAACAUGAAUCAGGUUUUGGCUAAUGAUUCUUUCAUGGGCUUUAAUCUUUGAUGAAAGUUCUCUAUUGUUAUAGCGAGGAAGAGUGCAUGAUCUGAGUGGU